GUGGGCUAGCGGGAGAGGAGCGCGGGUUCUGCCUUGGCAGCCUGGCACUCCUGAAAAAUUGGGAUCCAGGUGGCAAAGGGAUAGAUGGAUGGCUCCAAGACCAGUCUUAGUUUCCUCGUUUUGCUUUCGAUGGUCUUGUUCAGCGGAACGUCCCGCGACCCUCAUUCUCUUUCCUAUAAUUUCACCAUCAGUCCUUGGCCUGGAUAUGGUCAGCCAUGGUGUGAGGUUCAAGGGGAAGUUGAUCAAAAGGUCUUUCUCUCCUAUGACUGCGGUACAGCUAAGAUUAAGUGCAUGAGUCCAUUGGGAGAGGAGGUGAAACAUAUGAGUACCUGGGAAACACAGACUGUCACACUCAGAGACACUGGAGACUUGCUCAAGGAACAAAUGCCUGACAUUACACCGGAGAAACACACAGACAAGGUGGGAUCAGGCCCUCUGACCCUGCAGGCCAGGAUGACAUGCUCGCUUGAAGACAAUGGACACACCAGUGCUUUCUGGGAGUUUGGCUUCAAUGGACAGCUGUGCCUACUCUUUGAUUCGGAGAAUGGACACUGCACAAUGGUUCAUCCUGGAGGGAGACAGAUGAAAGAGAAAUGGGAGAAUGACAGGGCUGUGACCAACUUUUUCAAGAAGGUCUCCAUGGGAGACUGUCGGGCCUGGCUUCAGGCUUUCUUGGUGGGCUGGGAGAAAAUGCUGAAGACCUCGGCAUCGCCAACCACAGUCCCCACUACAGUGCAGCACACGGCCCCAGCCAGCAACCACAUAACCAAGAUCAUCCUUGGGGUUUUCGCCGUUUUCAUCAUACUAAGCAUCAUAGCCUGGAUCCUUUACAAAAGAGGUACUGAGGGCAGAAUUCAGAGGGAAGGCGGGGGCACAGGGCCUGGUGUGAGGAUGGGGAAGGCGAAUCCCAGCCAACCCCUGCCCCUCACUGAACCUCCUUAUCCUGGAAAUAAGCCGGUGAAUAAGACCCCAUAUCACCUGAGAGCAGAACUCAGACAAGCUCCGCCCUGAGUGCUGAAAAGUCCCCACUGUCAGGUGACAUUGUGAAAAGGGAGGGGCCUUCACUAGGCUGAGGGCCUACUGAUGCUUAAAGGGUUUAGCCAAGUCCCCUGGCUGAGCACAGACUGCUGGCUGGCAGGGCCCAGGGUAGUUGGUAUGAGAACAGCAGGCACUCAGGGUGACGGCAGGACUCAGGGGGGCUGAGAGCAGCAUGGGGGCUCCACGAUAUGUGUCAGCAGGGAGGGGACCCACCCAGGGCCCAAGAUGAGAGGGGCCGGGCUCUCAUCCCAAGAGGAAGGCUCUCAUCCCAGACCCAACUCCAAAGGCCCGUUCUCACAGGAAGUGGCCUGGGUCAAGCAGGCAAGGCAGGAGCCAUACAGCAGAGACUGGGGGAAGGGCUGAGGCCAGGCCUGUGCUCCUGGAGCAGCAGCAGUUGUGGGUCAGCAUGUGGCCUGCAUGUCACCAGCCUCCUGGGGACCCAGAGCCUCCAUCACUGACCGGCCCUGCCUUGAGCAGAGGUGCCUGGGGAUGGUGGGCCUGAGCUGGGUUGGAGGCACCCAGCUGAGCGGGACCAGGAAGAGAUGGGGGGCAGGGAUCCUAGUCCUGAGAGCUGUGUGUGCUGCUGGCUCAGAGGCUGGAGGGGAACUAAAGAAGGAGGUUUGCCUGCAGUCCCCCACGGCUGUCAGGAAGCCAGACCCCUCCUCUGGGGACCUGCUCCCUGGUCCUUUAAACCCCCCUCGGGGAGGAUCCAGACCUCAGUAAAGGGAGCAAAUUGAUUCCUCACUGGCUCCAGUCCUGAGCCUGAGCAGGGGGUGUCAGGGCCUGGGGUGACUCUGUGAUGCAGGAAGGAAGGAGGAGGUGACAAGAAGCUGCUGGGCCUGGGGUGGGGUGGGGGUGGAGGACACAGGAGCACCUCAGUGAAGGCGGGACUAGGGGGCUGGGGAGGGCCGCCCAGGAAAGUGACAGGAUUUCCUCAGCCUCCUGGUCAAUACCUGUUUCUUUUCUGCAGGAGACGGUGCUCUCAGGAAGCCCAACGGGCUCUGUCAGCCUGAGGACUCAGUCUCUGCUUGGACGCCUUUGUUCUCCUGCGUUCACUUUAGAGCCAGGAGAUGAGACCCAGGAAUUCGGAGCCUGCCUUCCAGUUAUGAUGACAAGGUGGCUUCACUGUCUCGUGUCUCUUGUCACAUCUGGUGAACAGCCUCCUCAGUCUCUUUUUUUUCCCUAGCCUAUUUUACCUCUUUCUCUUGGUGCUAAGUGAUGGAAUCCAUGUACUUGAAAUGUUCAACUACUUGAACAAGAAAUCUCCUCAAAUAGGACACUUUCUGUCUUCUAGUUUGUGAAAAAUCAGACUCUUGUCUGUAUUGGCAAUCUCAUUGUUGCAAAUGAUUGAUAAUGGGAGAAAAGUACCAUCGGCUAUUACAGGACUCAGGGAUCUUUGUAUGUUCAGAGAAACAACUUUAGAGUAUUUUCAACAAAUAAAAUAUUAUGCCUGAAUGCCUCUUUUAGUCA
rnacentral:lncRNA from 1 species